AUUGAACGCUGGCGGCAUGCCUUACACAUGCAAGUCGAACGGCAGCACGGGAGCAAUCCUGGUGGCGAGUGGCGAACGGGUGAGUAAUAUAUCGGAACGUGCCCAGUCGUGGGGAUAACGUAGCGAAAGCUACGCUAAUACCGCAUACGAUCUACGGAUGAAAGCGGGGGAUCGCAAGACCUCGCGCGAUUGGAGCGGCCGAUAUCAGAUUAGGUAGUUGGUGAGGUAAAGGCUCACCAAGCCGACGAUCUGUAGCUGGUCUGAGAGGACGACCAGCCACACUGGGACUGAGACACGGCCCAGACUCCUACGGGAGGCAGCAGUGGGGAAUUUUGGACAAUGGGCGCAAGCCUGAUCCAGCAAUGCCGCGUGCAGGAUGAAGGCCUGGUGU
rnacentral:rRNA from 1 species